rnacentral:rRNA from 1 species
GACGAACGCUGGCGGCGUGCUUAACACAUGCAAGUCGAACGAGGACACCGAGGAGCUUGCUCCAUGGUGCUCCUAGUGGCGGACGGGUGAGUAACGCGUGAACAAUCUAUCCCGAAGUGGGGAAUAACACGGUGAAAGUCGUGCUAAUACCGCAUAAGACCACGCCUCCGCAUGGGGGUGGGGUAAAAGGAGUAAUUCGCUUUGGGGUGAGUUCGCGUCUGAUUAGCUAGUUGGUGGGGUAACGGCCCACCAAGGCGACGAUCAGUAGCCGGCCUGAGAGGGCGAUCGGCCACACUGGAACUGAGAAACGGUCCAGACUCCUACGGGAGGCAGCAGUGGGGAAUAUUGGGCAAUGGGGGAAACCCUGACCCAGCAACGCCGCGUGAGGGAAGAAGGCUUUCGGGUCGUAAACCUCUGUCCCAUGUGAAGAGAAGAGGACGGUAGCAUGGGAGGAAGCCCCGGCUAACUACGUGCCAGCCGCCGCCGUAACAC